rnacentral:ncRNA from 1 species
AAGAGAUACCCUAGGACAUGGCAAUAACAGCCGUUUGAUAGAAGUGGUGUGUACGCACGAAGGCAACGACGUGUUCAGCAUGCACUUACUAACGUCCAUAUAAAUUUUGUU